UCCCGUAGGAGAGGGGGUAAACUUAAGAUAGGAUGGUUGACUGAGUGGUUUAAGGUGUGAUAUUUGAGCUAUCAUAAGUCAUAUUGGCUUCGUAGGUUCAAAUCCUACACCAUCCG
rnacentral:tRNA from 1 species